rnacentral:lncRNA from 1 species
GGGUGGGGGAGCAGAGAGAGAGGGAGACACAGAAUCUGAAACAGGCUCCAGGCUCUGAGCUGUCAGCCCAGAGCCCAACAUGGGGUUCGAACCCACGGACCGCGAGAUCAUGACCUGAGCUGAAGUCGAACGCUCAACCGACUGAGCCACCCAGGCACCCCAUGACACCACUGGAGUAUUUUAGUGAGCCUGCUGGACUGAAGACAUCUCCCCUGGCGAAAAAAUUAGACAGAGGUGGCCCUACACUUACGCUCCAAGGUGUUAUAACGUCAUCCAGUAAGUUAGUACCUGAAACGGAUAGAAUGUUCUAAGUAUCUUCUUCCUGUUCUUCCCAUGCUCCCGUUUUGAAGUGUCUUUAUCAAAACAUCCUGAACUUUUCAGAUCGAUGUUUCUUUGAGAAAUUCCUAGAAUCCUGGUCUCACGCAGAAAGACCGCCCUAUGUCACAUCUCCCUGCCUGCUUCCCUUUCAGAAAGAGUCUCCUUCUGUCCACCAAGUCAGAAACAUCAGUACGGUGUCAGCAUAACUUAUGUGGCCAACACGUGAACUCGUGCCAGAGUCCAGGCCCCAAGAAGCCCUCGUCGGUGGGGACCGUUGAGCACAAAGGGUCUUUGCUGGCAUGCAUCCUGGUCUACCCUGCGGACUCUGAGAACCCCUUGGGCAUCACUAAGAAGCACGGGCAUGGGGCUUGGAGCCAGGGCCAUUGUGAGCAUGUUUUGAUACCCUGGAUUAUUUCUAUGGCAAUGAAGACAGACUACUGGAGACGAAAGACAAUUCCCUGUUCCAGCCUUGGGGAAAACAAAACAAACACCUGAAGAAAGGCAACAGGAAAAGUACAAAUGUCCCCCAACCCCCACACAAGAUUAGCCCACGUUAUCAGCGGAGACAAGGCGUGUUAAGGAAAGAUAGUGCCCGAGCCAGCAUGGAGGUUAAUCUCUCCAGGAAUUAAAGCUUCAUUAACUUGUUUUCAGCAUUUCUCAGCAAGAACCCACAGAUUUUGAACUCUGACCAUUUGAAUAUUAUUUCUUCAGAUCUCUAAGGAAGAAAAAAGAAAAAAAAAAGCCAACACAAUGUGCCUCACAGUGAUUGAUUGAUAAGGAAGUCAUGAUGCUUGACUGCUAUUUGGGUCUUGUCACUUACUGGUAACGUCCUUCCUUCUUCACUCCGAGUCUGCCCAUAUCCACACUUAGGGCAGAGACACUUUCUUCUUUUCCCAUCUCUCCAUGAGUGCCCCCCUUCUCUUUCCAGUAUUUGCUUUUUGAAGGGGGUCAGUGGUGAAGGAAGGGUUGGCCAGGAAGCACUGCUCUUUCUCCUUUCAGAUUCUCCCAUCUGGGCUCACUGCCUCCCAGGAACGGGCCAUCACGUCCCUGACGGAGGCGGAGGAGUGCCUUGUCCCUCUGUCCGGGGGCACUGCCAUCUUCUGAGACAGGACUGUUGGGCGCCACAGGAAAGAAGGCAGACGCCAGAGGGUCCUGGGAGGCACCAAGCCCCUCCCAAAGUGAAAGCGAGUUUCCUGGAGUGUGUGUGUGUGUGUGUGUGUGUGUGUGUGUGUGUGGUAUUCUGGGGAGGAGUGAGGUCAGAUAAGGACCACAGAGGACCAGAAACCAGUCUUUGCACACCCGCCUCCCAGAGACUUCUGUGGCCAGGCCCUUUAGCUCAUGGGUCCCUAUGCUGGGGUCCCACCCAAGCCUUGAAAAAAUGUCUACAAUUGCACUGGGCACACAGCAGAAAGAGCCUGGAAUUCAGAAUUGGGGAAACCCAGAUUCCAGCUCCAUGUUUCCUUCUGUGUGUG